rnacentral:rRNA from 1 species
GACGAACGCUGGCGGCGUGCUUAACACAUGCAAGUCGAACGGAAAGGCCCUGCUUGCAGGGUACUCGAGUGGCGAACGGGUGAGUAACACGUGGGUGAUCUGCCCUGCACUUCGGGAUAAGCCUGGGAAACUGGGUCUAAUACCGGAUAGGAGCCAUUUUUAUUGUGAUGGUUGGAAAGCUUUUUCGGUGUAGGAUGAGCUCGCGGCCUAUCAGCUUGUUGGUGGGGUAAUGGCCUACCAAGGCGGCGACGGGUAGCCGGCCUGAGAGGGUGGACGGCCACAUUGGGACUGAGAUACGGCCCAGACUCCGACGGGAGGCAGCAGUGGGGAAUAUUGCACAAUGGGCGCAAGCCUGAUGCAGCGACGCCGCGUGGGGGAUGACGGCCUUCGGGUUGUAAACUCCUUUCGCUAGGGACGAAGCUUUUUGUGACGGUACCUAGAUAAGAAGCACCGGCUAACUACGUG